UACAGAGGUGGCAAGCGUUGUUCGGAUUUACUGGGCGUAAAGGGUCCGUAGGCGGUUUGGAAAGUUGAAUGUGAAAUCCCGCAGCUCAACUGCGGAACUGCAUUCAAAACUUCCAGACUAGAGUAUGAGAGGGGUUUAAGGGAAUUCCCGGUGUAAGGGUGAAAUCUGCAGAGAUCGGGAGGAACACCAGUCGCGAAGGCGCUUAAC
rnacentral:rRNA from 1 species